rnacentral:tRNA from 1 species
ACUCAGUGGUCUAGUGGUUAAGUGCUCUGGCUCGAGACUGGUAGGUCCUGAGUUCGAAUCUCGCGGGUGCG